rnacentral:rRNA from 1 species
UACGUAGGCAGCGAGCGUUGUUCGGAGUUACUGGGCGUAAAGAGUGCGUAGGCGGUUUUCUAAGUUUGGUGUGAAAUCUCCCGGCUUAACUGGGAGGGUGCGCCGAAAACUGGAAGGCUUGAGUAUGGGAGAGGUAAGCGGAAUUCCUGGUGUAGCGGUGAAAUGCGUAGAUAUCUGGAGGAACACCGGUGGCGAAGGCGGCAUCCUGGACCGGCAUUGACGCUGAGGCGCGAAAGCCAGGGGAGCAAACGGG